rnacentral:rRNA from 1 species
CCUGGCGGCCGUAGCGCGGUGGUCCCACCUGACCCCAUGCCGAACUCAGAAGUGAAACGCCGUAGCGCCGAUGGUAGUGUGGGGUCUCCCCAUGUGAGAGUAGGGAACC